rnacentral:RNase_P_RNA from 1 species
GAAGUCGGCUAGGCAGUCGCCGGUUGAGUAAUCAACGGGAGGAAGGUCCGGGCUCCGUAGAGCAGGGUAACGGCUAAUGACCGUCCGUCGUGAGGCGAGGACUAGGGCCACAGAGACGAGCGUAUUAAGUUACGGUGAAACGCGGCAACCUCUACCCGGAGCAAUAUCAAAUAGGCAUGUGCAGUGAGUGGGCAACCAUUCACCCAAGGCGGCUCGUUGGAGCAUGCGGGUAGGUAGCUUGAGGCGCGUGGUAACACGCGUCCUAGAGGAAUGACUGCUACGGUGCGCGGGUAAAACCGUUCGCCGACAGAACCCGGCCUAUCGGCCGACUUCACUU